rnacentral:rRNA from 1 species
UACAGAGGGUGCAAGCGUUAAUCGGAAUUACUGGGCGUAAAGCGCGCGUAGGUGGUUUGUUAAGUUGGAUGUGAAAGCCCCGGGCCUCAACCUGGGAACUGCAUCCAAAACUGGCAAGCUGGAGUACGGUAGAGGGUGGUGGAAUUUCCUGUGUAGCGGUGAAAUGCGUAGAUAUAGGAAGGAACACCAGUGGCGAAGGCGACCACCUGGACUGAUACUGACACUGAGGUGCGAAAGCGUGGGGAGCAAACAGG